rnacentral:rRNA from 1 species
CACGUGGGUUACCUACCUUCUGGUGAGGAAUACCAGCGAGAAAUCGUUGACAAUUCCGCAUAGGCUCUUUUUGAAGAGCAAAGCUUCGGUUCUUCCGAGGUGCCAUAAGAUGAGCCUGCGUCUGAUUAGCUAGUUGGUGGGGUAAAAGCCUACCAAGGCGAUGAUCGGUAGCUGGUCUGAGAGGAUGAGCAGCCACACUGGGAUUGAGAACGGCCCAG